rnacentral:rRNA from 1 species
UACGUAGGGGGCAAGCGUUAAUCGGAAUUACUGGGCGUAAAGCGUGCGCAGGCGGCUAUGCAAGACAGAUGUGAAAUCCCCGGGCUCAACCUGGGAACUGCAUUUGUGACUGCAUGGCUAGAGUACGGUAGAGGGGGAUGGAAUUCCGCGUGUAGCAGUGAAAUGCGUAGAUAUGCGGAGGAACACCGAUGGCGAAGGCAGCUGACGAAACUGCAACUGACGCUGAUGCACGAAAGUGCGGGGAUCAAACAGG